rnacentral:lncRNA from 1 species
GGACAUCGAAGUGCCUCGGAGUUUGAUGAACAUAAUUAAUUACAGGCACAUAGACGUCGCGCGCCCAAAAAUGCGACGUCUAUUUUGCAGAAAUUUUUGUCUUCCCGCUUUCCAGACAGGCCAUAAACGUCAAUUUUUGUCUACCGGACGUCUAAGCGCCUGUGAAUCAAGUGAACAACAUUAAUUGCAGUCAAGUAGACGUCGGCCCC